rnacentral:tRNA from 1 species
GCCGGAGUGGCGGAAUGGGUAGACGCAAGGGACUUAAAAUCCCUCGGGUAUUAUACUCGUACCGGUUCAAGUCCGGUCUCCGGUACCA